AACGAACGCUGGCGGCAUGCCUAACACAUGCAAGUCGAACGAUGCCUUCGGGCAUAGUGGCGCACGGGUGCGUAACACGUGGGAACGUGCCUUUAGGUUCGGAAUAGCUCCUGGAAACGGGUGGUAAUGCCGAAUGUGCCCUUCGGGGGAAAGAUUUAUCGCCUUUAGAGCGGCCCGCGUCUGAUUAGCUAGUUGGUGAGGUAACGGCUCACCAAGGCGACGAUCAGUAGCUGGUCUGAGAGGAUGACCAGCCACAUUGGGACUGAGACACGGCCCAAACUCCUACGGGAGGCAGCAGUGGGGAAUCUUGCGCAAUGGGCGAAAGCCUGACGCAGCCAUGCCGCGUGGAUGAUGAAGGUCUUAGGAUUGUAAAAUCCUUUCACCGGUGAAGAUAAUGACUGUAGCCGGAGAAGAAGCCCCGGCUAACUUCGUGCCAGCAGCCCCGGUAAAGUAGUCGUGU
rnacentral:rRNA from 1 species